UUAUUGAUUGUAAACUGUUGCCUUCUGUGCUGGCUCCUGCAAGUGCACGUCGGUGGCUUUCAUUCCAAUACCCCUGUGAACCUUUGGCCUCUUGCUAGCUUCGGCGGGCAGAGGAUUUUACAUACAAACUCGAAUGUAAUGAAACUCUUGUUGUGCACAAGCACUACUAUACAACUUUCAACAACGGAUCUCUUGGCUCUCGCAUCGAUGAAGAACGCAGCGAAAUGCGAUAAGUAAUGUGAAUUGCAGAAUUCAGUGAAUCAUCGAAUCUUUGAACGCACCUUGCACCCUUUGGUAUUCCGAAGGGUAUGCUCGUUUGAGUGUCAUUGUAUUCUCACACUUCCGAUCUUAGGGUUGGGAGCGGUGGACUUGGGUUUGCUGCUUCACCGUGGCUCACCUCAAAUAUGUUAGUGCAGCUCUUGGUUGGACAUAGUACGGCGUGAUAAGUGUUCUUCGCCGGUGCCUCGCAAAGAGGGUGGCCGAUCGGGAUGUUGUGCUCCAAACCGUCUUCGGACAAUCUCUGACGACUUGACCUCAAAUCGAGUAAGACUACCCGCUGAACUUAAGCAUAUCAAU
rnacentral:rRNA from 1 species